GUCUGUUUGCAAUACUAGUUUGUAGGGCAUUCAAAGAGACAGAAAUGCCUUAAUAGUAAUCUUCAUUCUACACUUGUUUCUUUAAGGGCUUGCUUGCCAGUAUGAAAGCAGACUCUUUCCAUACAGCCUUUUGUGGGCUGUCUAUCAGGAGGGGAUGGUUCAGUCCUGUGGUACAGCAUCUCUGCAUGCAGUAGUCCUGAAAUAUGGAAAUUUGCUUCUCAGCCUGGGAAGGGACUGCCACAUCACUUCUUGAGAUUUUCCACAGCUUCAGUUACCUUCUGUCAUGGGUAUCAGAAGUGUAAGAAAUCUGGAAAACCCCAGACUGCUACCGUUAACUGUUAGUGAUUGGGGUUUACCCUGCCUAACACUGAAUGCAACCCAAGUGAGUGAUGUUGGCAUUCACCUUGGUGACCCAGAGAAAUAGAAAACCAAAAUCUCAACAGAAUGCUCUUGCUUCUGGCCUGGUUUAUUGGAAGGGUAAGUACUGAAAAAAAAAAAAUAGAAAUCAUUCUCUCUGUCUUGCCUAGGACUCCUGAAAACAGUGGAGCUGCUUGAGAUUUCCUGCUUUGCAGGGCACCUUUCAAUCUUUUACUUGACUGGAGUGUUCUGAUCCCUAGGAGAUAUUUUGAGUUCCUAAGUUUUGCAGAGACUGAGAGCAUGUAACCUGUUUUAUAGGAGCUAUUGCUAUUUACUCUUCAUCACUUCUGUGACUGACAAGUAUGGAAUCACCUGCCCAUGAGAUGUAAAAACCUCAUCCUAA